CAGGCUGAAACUCGCCUGCAUGAAGUCGGAAUUGCUAGUAAUCGCAGAUCAGCAUGCUGCGGUGAAUACGUUCCCGGGCCUUGUACACACCGCCCGUCACACCAUGGGAGUCGGUAACACCCGAAGCCUGUAGUCUAACCGCAAGGAGGACGCAGUCGAAGGUGGGAUUGAUGACUGGGGUGAAGUCGUAACAAGGUACC
rnacentral:rRNA from 1 species